AAGCUUCCCGUAUUUGUCCCGAUAAAUUAGUUUCUUAACCUUUACGAGUGUUUCAAUACCACCCUAUACUAGUUCAGACUGAUUUUUUUUAACCCUUUUAAGCCCUCUCCCAGACGCGCUGUGUAUAACCACAAAUGUGGGCAUUUAAUGCUUUUAUGUAAUCGUAAAAUUAAAAAUAAAAAGGAAAAAAAUAAUUUAUCAGCUCUAAUUAAAACCUCCCCCAAAAGGUAAUAUUUCCCUUUGCAUCCAAUUUUUCUUCUACCAUAUCUACCUCAAGAACCCUAAUUUUCCCCCUACCAAAUCAGCCAUAACUAUUGUUCAAGAUUGGAUUUUUGAAGGCAAAGGGACGACUUCCAAAUGCCUUCCAAAAAGUUGACUAGGAUUUAUAUGAAAGAGGACGAUCAUGCAUCUACUGAAGAAGUGCGAUGUAAUCAUGGAUAUUUGCUGCCACCGUUAAUCUUUUGGACCCUUAGAAAUCCUGGUAGAAGGUAUUGGGCUUGUCCAUACUAUGAGGGUGCUCGAGCAUGUGAUUUUUGGCGUUGGAGGGAUGGUGAAAUUGACCCUAGAUCAAAGCUUGUUAUUCCUAAAUUGAAGGAAGAGAUCGGGAUACUUGAGAGCCAAGUUGAAGAUUUUGGAAAACUUGACAAUCCGACGGCAACAAAGAAGGAUGACAUGAGAUUGAUAAGAUAUGCAUUCAACUAGAUUGCUUAGAAAAUGAAGUUUAGAAGAUGAAAGAAAGGGAGAAGAAAUGGAUGAGCAAAGCUGCUCGAUCAAGGAAAAGGGAGAAUGUUUUUUGGUUUAUCAUUUUAUGUUGUGUUAUUAUCGACAUUAGUACUAGGUUUCAAGUGUUGUAUUUGAAGGAUGAUGAAAUAAAGUUGCCAUAGGCUCUUUGUUUUAUACAUUUGGUGUAAUUGUUGAACAUGGUUAGUAUAGCAUUAGUUGUAUUGAAUAUUGGUGAAUACCUUAUAUAAACAAUUUUUGUUUUGUGGAAUGAAGUUGGUGCUUGUUUGA